UGGUGGAUGGCCAACGCCCGUAGGCCCCUCCCGAGCGGGUGACAAAGCCCCAUACGCUCGAGGACCUAGGCGGAACGUCGCCGCUGCCUUUCGGGCAGUCCCCCCUAAACCGGGGGGACCACGCCCAACACACAAGCCGGGCUUGAGGGCAGAAAUGACGCUCGGACAGGCAUGCCCCCCGGAAUGCCAGGGGGCGCAAU
rnacentral:misc_RNA from 1 species